AUGUUAUUUUCUAUACAUUUAGCAUAUACACAUAAUAUGAGCUCAAUGCAUUAACUUCUGCUUAGAUUCCAUAAUAUCAAGUUGCUGCUGGUUUAUCAUUUAGCACAAGUCUUCUUCUGGCACCUAUCAUCCUCGCCAAACUGAAUUUGUCAUGGUUACAGUUUUGCCACACAAUUUCCUUAUUUUUUAGCUAUAACCUAUAAAUCACAUUAGAUGACUAGCUGUGUUAAUUAGUUACUGCUUUGGACUAUGUUUUUAAGGCGACGCCUUACCGCCUUAGGGAGGGGGGGCGCUUUGGCGCCUAGGCGACGCCUAGGCGGGCGCUUUGGACGCCUAGGCGCCCAAAGCGGUCGAUUUUCCAAAGCGGAGGGGGAGCGCUUCGACGCCUAGGCGUCGCCUUAGGGACGCUUUAAAAACAUAGGCUUUGGAUGAUUAUAUGGUAACUUAUGUCAGUUGCAAACUCAAGAAAUUCAGAUAGUCAUAUAGAUCUGACCAGAAACUGGCAGUAAACUUUCUGGUUAUGGGGAAUUGAUGUUUUGCAACUUCAAGCGCCGGCUUCUGAGGAUGUGCUGCCGAUUAUCUCACUGAUUUGUUGGUCCUGGAACAAUGCAGUAGCAAAUCCUCAAUGUCCCAUCUGUUAGCCUGAACUCUCCUCUCACGGUGGGGACGAACGCGCACAGGAGAUUUCUUGUUCUGGGCAACAGAUGCUUAUUUUACAUCCAUGGGGUACACAUCCUUUUAUAGGACUUGCUCAAACUGACCUAGCCCUCUUAAGAGUACUACUCUGAAUAUAGCCAACGUAAAUUCUACCUUUGCUGUGGCUACUACUUGCUGGAUCCCUUUCUUACUAAGGCAACUGGUGGUCAGAUUUCUUUUGACUACUCUCACCGUCAUACUAGACGUGUCCUGUACCUUCUUCCUUUCCCAAGUCUUAACAUAAUCACUGUUAGGAUCCGACCCGUGGUUCAGUCUAUUACAAGGUAAUCAAGCUCACAUACAAGGAAUUGGUGAAGGAAGAUGAAGAUAGGAGGAAGCACAGGAGGUAGGAGAAGGGAAGGGGGAAGCCGCCAUUGCCUUUGCCUGAUCCAAGCCCGGAUGGCUAGCUCGUUGCUGUCCCCUGUAGAUAUAUAGCUGGUAGCUCUUGCUGGUUCUCGACGGCCCAGGCCCAUGUGCUGGUCGCUCUUGGUGGGCUGGCUGCCUUGCCGUGGGUCAACGUGGCCGUGAUAGUAAUUGGGUCGCUGACAUACCUUCCUCCUUAACGGCCGGCUUGCCCCCAAGCCGGUGCUCGUUCUUUGCUGGUUCUGCAAAAUCCAAUCCUCCUGGAUCCCAUUGAGCAUAAGACGAAGUUGUCGGUUGAAGUGACUGUACCGCAUGUUGUUCAUUGUUCUGUGCAGUGCUCUGAAAUUCCUUCGGGGUUGAGCGUCCCAGACAUGCAGCAAGGACAUCUGCAUCUGGGUAAGUGCCCCAAGAGAAGCACCACCAAUGGCUUGACAAGAUAUUAACAUGAUCAGCACAGAUCCACAAUGGAGUGAUUUCCCAAAGAACUCCAGCGAGGUGUAGAAACUCUGAAUUAGUUCUUCGCAUAUUGCUGCUGAAUCGUGUAGAAAUUUGUGGUGGAACAAGAGGUGACCAUGGAGGCUUGGGUUGCAACAAGACCAAAUGCUCUCCUGGUUUUGGAAUAAGUAGUUCCAACUCAAUCAGAAGGAGCCCACUCCCUUCCACUGAGAUGCCAAAGCAUAUACCAUUUGUAAGUGAUUUUGUUGCUUGCCCCUAUAUGAUACUGGCUUCUCCACUUAUGAAACAUGUCACUUAGCUGCCCAACAAGAUGCACCAACAGUUCAACGACCACCGUGCAUUGGUUCCCAUAGAAAUAUGCAUCAGAACAGGGGACGGAACUAGCUUGCAGGAAAUUAGGCUUCAACAGUCUCCAUUCAUAUUGUCCGCUCCACUUAUACUUGAGCAGAUUGCCACCCGCUUGUAUACUGGCACAUAUAGGAACUACCCAGUGAUGUACUAAAUCAUGGGAAUCUCUAGUGCGCCAAAAUUUUGCAAAGUAAUAACUACCCGCCAACUCAGUGACGUGCUCGUGAACCCAAUGGUAGAGCAACUGUACUGCCUGACAAGUGCAUAAAAAUAUGAUCCUGGUAGCUUCAGCUGGGCAUUUUUUUACUGAACCAAAACAUCGGUUGGGCGUCAUGAGCGCGAAAUUCAUAAGAGGACUGGACCCAACAGAUGACUAGCCGCUGUUCUGCAAUACCCAAGGUCAGAUCAUCAAUAAAUUGUUUUAUUGGAUGACUCGGGACAAGAAUAUAGCUUGGCAUCAUGGGGAUCCAGCAAGCACCCGUCUCAGAAAGAUUCCAAUGCACCUGAGUUGUACAAACAAGAAGUGGUCGCUGAUUGGAACAAAGUAUCAACGCCCACUCCUGAGAAAUUCCCUGGUCAAACUUGCAAAUAGCAGCAACACAGACUUCAUCUGAUUUCAGAUAUGCUGGAACACAAUUGGUUGAUAUAAGAUGCUGACAAUCACCUUUUUCCAAAGCUUCAGUACUGGUCAUCUUGUGCAAAAAGUACAAAUGAACUAGAAUCAUGUGUUGAAUUCCCACCAGAGUACAAAUGGUAUGCAAUUUGGUCCACACUUGAAGGAGCAACACUCCAGGCUGAUUAGCUCGGCAAACUGAAUUCUUGUUUUUGAAACAUCAACUACUUGUUCAGCUUUGCACCCGGCAAACAACAGAAAGACUCGUCCAUGGAAUUCGACUGACGAUAAGGAACUUGAGGAUAACUCACAUCGCUGAAUGGUAAUGGUACUAGCUCACCACUGAACCCUGAAACUUCAUGAGGUUGGUGAUGUGUACGUGAAGAUGGCUCCUCGAGAUAGCAUGCAACUGAAUCAUAUUUGAGCGGCCGCCACUGUCUUGGUCUGAAUAGGUGAUCCAUUUGACCGAUCUUAUAAGUAAUUUUUAGCAAGCACCACCAGGUUUCUCUCGUGAUUUUUGGAUCAGUAGGACCAUGAGCACAAAACUGAAAUUCCACUGUCGGUAGCUCUGACCAUAACUGUACUGCUUGGCAAUUGCUUGAGAAUGAUGAACACAGUAGUUUCAGGUGCACCCCUUGGCGACAUCUCAGGGAUUCUGUCGGAGAAGUCAGAGCACUUAUAGCAGCAUGUUCCCUUAUGUGAUUCUCAGAAUACUUCCAACGCCCCUGCUCAAGAACAACUGAAAACUGAUGCUCAAUAGGUUCCAGUGAACAAACAACAUGGAUAGUGGUAGUCACCAGUGAAGCAAAAUUGUCAAUAGCAGUACAAUAUUCAUCUGGAAGCUUGCACUUGGGCAAUUCUAACUACACUGAUACUGCCGGGCAAUUGCUUGAAAAUGAUGGCCAUGGUAGUUUCAGCUGCAUACUUUGCAAAUAUUUUCCAGGUCUUCUCAGAGAAUCUAGAAUACUAGAAAAAUGAUUCAUCGCAGAUGUAACUUGUGACAGCAGCCCAACGUGCUUCCGAUUCAGUUCACGAGAGCAAGCUAAGGACGGCCAUGGCAUGGGCCGUUUCUCGUUUCCAUCUGCAUAAUGUCUCCAAAACGAUGGCGACGGGUGGAGCACAUACUUCUGUAGGUUUGUGUGGCGACGGGUGCAUUGCGCCGAACACCUUGUCAGCGUCGAUGCAGUAAGGUCGCUGGAGACGUUGUGGACGACGGUGUGGUCCACCUCGCUCGUCACUGGGGUGGUGUUGACAGUGAGGGCUUCGAGCUCUUGCACACCGGCCUUGGGGUCAACAUCGGUGGUGGUUGCCACAGGGGGAAGGACCUUGGUGGUGCUGGUGCAGAUGGAAGGCGUUGCAUGAACAGUCGUGAUCGGCACGACCUCUUGGUGGAUGAGAUCGACCGCGGGCUCGAGGUGGACAGUUGUGGUGGCGGUGUGGACCUCGUCGACGCUGGCGAUGGUGACUACCUGGGUCGGACAUUCUGUCGAACAGGUGACUGGCAUCAUCUCGAUGGAAGCAAGGGACGCGCCGGGGUUGAGCUCGAAGGUCUCGUGGGCCUUGGUGGUAGAGGAAGAGUUAUCGGGGAUGACCACCGGGACACUGGAGUCGUCGGUGAGGCCGCUAUCUGCUGCCGUGGCCAUGGGACACGCCGGCUGCGGGGUCGACAUGCCCGUGAGGAUCUUCAACAUCAGCGUGUAUUGCUUGUCCAUGGCGUCAUAACGUGCCAUGGUCCGCGCAUGGUAAUCGUCCAGGUAGGCCUUCAGGUCCGGAUGCAUGGUGGUGGAAGGAAUUGAUGAACUGAGAAAAAAAAUUAGGCAAAAAUUGGACGAACUCAGAAGAAUUUGUGGCGAAUCGGAAGGGUGGAAGGAGGCUCUGAUGCCAUGAUGUUAGGAUCCGACCCGUGGUUCAGUCCAUUACAAGGUAAUCAAGCUCACAUACAAGGAAUUGGUUAAGGAAGAUGAAGAUAGGAGGAAGCACAGGAGGUAGGAGAAGGGAAGGGGGAAGCCGCCGUCCUUUGCCUGAUCCAAGCCCGGAUGGCUAGCUCGUUGGUGUCCCCUGUAGAUAUAUAGCUGUUAGCUCUUGCUGGUUCUCGACGGCCCAGGCCCAUGUGCUGGUCGCUCUUUGUGGGCUGGCUGCCUUGCCGUGGUUCAACGUGGCCGUGAUAGUAAUUGGGUCGUUGACAAUCACCCUCUUAAUCUUGUUCCCUUAGAAUCAGCGAUGCAGAUCACCCACAUCUUUAGGUCCUCUCAUGGCGACAUUGCACCAUGUACCUGACGACGACCAACUCAAGCAUGGGGCAUGCACUACUUAAUAGCCUCAACAUGGACACACCGUGUUUCUAGCCACAUGCAACUACCGACAAAUUAGUACCCUCCAGCUAACACACAUGCUGCAAUCCAUGAACGUUGCUUGCAUGCAAUUGCUAGACUAGAAUUAAUUCCAAGAUUUAAGAUGUUCAAAAAAUUCUGAAACUUUUUUAGCACAUUCAUACAACAUCAAUGUGGGUUGUCACAAAAUUUCAAGCCAAAGUACAAACAAUAACUCGAAAAACAAAAAUGACCAAUUCAACACUAAAUAGUAUGUAACAUAACUUGGGCUCUAGAUUUGGCCCAAAAAAUCUAGAGCCCCCAAAAUAACUCACAUUGAUGUCAAAUUUGUUAAUUUUUAUAUCUCAAAAAAUAUUUCAACUUUUUGUACGAAAUUUUGUGACAUCAUACAUUGAUGUUACAUUAACGUGCUAGAUUUUUUUUCAGAUUUUUUAAAACAUUCUAUGGCAUCUGGUGCACCGGUAGCACCACAAGUGCGGGUGCACCGGAUACAUUCCCUGUUGUACGAAGUGUACAACACAAGUGUUGAAGGAACUAUUUAAACGUGCGGGGCUAGAUAUCACUCUAGAGGCAGAAAUAGGCCAAUGUGGCAGCAGGAGUUCAAUCCAAAACUCCUAGGGCACAAGUGUCGGUUCCUGGAUGGAUCAGCCUUGGAUUUGAGGUGGAUCAAGAACAAGAAAAUGAGGAAAAGUAUGAAAUCACCAAGAACAGUGAGGAACUUGUGUAUAUGGUGUAUGUAUGUAAAGGUAUUACUGUAUUGAUAAUAACCAAUAUUUGGCUGAAUAGUUGAUUGAUACCCCUCUCUUAGGUUACAAGGCCUUAUAUAGGCUAGGGAAUUACAGUGGCUUAACUUGAAAGUAAAAUAAAGGAAAAAGCAGCAAAAAGGGGAAACAGAGAUAUCCAUAGAUCAGGUCUUCUUCUCAUCCUAGCCCUCCAAUCUUCUCUCUUAUCUUCUCCCACUAGUACCUGACAACAAGAUCUACUCCAAGAUCUUAGAUAAGAACACCAAGUUCUAUUAUAGGUAGUGGGGGUACAUAGUUUGGUUACAAAUAGAGGUGGGGCCCUCUAUUGAUAGGGCUUUUGGAAGCCUUCACAUCUCACUUCUACUAAUGGCUAGAACACUAUAGAAAACAUUACCUAAGGGCUAAGGCUAAGAUUCACCAUUCCACUCAUAGCUACUCAUAGCUAGAAGACUAGAAAAUAGUAGAUAGGGUUGAGAAAAGAAAAGAAAUACUAGACUAGAGUAGAAGUAUCUAGAAGUAGCCAAACAGUAUUGACAUAUGAUUUUAUUUUUAUUAUUUUCAUCUAUUGUUCCUCAUCAGUCUCCCCUCGUGGUUUGGAACUCGACCUCGAGUUAUCUUCAUAGAGUGCCUCUUCUGGGCGGUAGAGAGUCAAGUCUGCACCAUUGAAAGUGUUGGAUAUACCCAUGUCGUUUGGAAGAUCUAUCACAUAAGCAUUAUCAUUUAUCUUCCUCAUAAUAGAGAAGGGCACAUACCUUCAUUGCCUAAGCUUACCUUCAACAACUAAAGGCAGCCUCCCUUUUCGGAGGUAGACCAUCACCUUAUCACCAACUUGGAAUGAUUUCAGCCUCCUUUUGCGGUCAACAAGUUGUUCAUAUAACUGAUUUUGUGCUUCCAGAACACAACAGAUUUCUUCAAAUAACUCGGUGUGAUUAUGAUCAAAGGACAAUGCUGAUUUUGAGUUUCUCUUUGAUGGUAUUCAUCAGGUCCACCACAUGUGUUGGAACUUUAGUGUAGACAAUGGAAAAAGGAUUCCUUCCUAUGGAUCUAUGUUUGGAGUUAUUGCAAGAGAACUCUGCAAAAGAUAAAGCCAAAAUCAAUUGUCACUUUCUUUCUCCACAAAUUCAAUGGAUCAAUCAACUCAAAAAAAAUUUAAUGGAUCAGAUUACCCAAAAAUUGUUCACCACUUUGGUUUGUCCAUCUGUUUGUGGAUGGGCAGUGCUAAUUUUUUUUAAUUCAAUGUUGAAUUGCUUCCACAAAGUGAGCCAAAUUGCAGCAAAAAACUUGCUACCACGGCCUGAGACGAUGAACCUUGGAAUGCCAUGAAGUCUAACCACUUCUCUAAAGAAUAGGUUUGCCACAUGAUGAGAGUCUGUUGUCUUGCGACAUGGAAUAAAAUGAGCCAUUUAGAGAAUUUGUCCAAGACCACAAACACAUCAUCACUCCCUCGCCUUGUUCUUGGCAAACCCAAGACGACGUCCAUAGAGAUAUCCCCCCAUGGAGCAACAGGAACAGGCAAAGCCAUGUGUAACCUUGUGUUUUGAACUUGGCCUUUGCAGGUUUGACAUAUGGGGCAUCGCAACAAACUUUCCAGUAUCCCUCUUUCGUUUUGGCCAAAAGUAACGAGCUUGUAGGUUAGCGAUAGUCGUGUCCCGUCCAACAUGGCCACUAGGAUCGCUGGAAUGGACCGCUCUGAUCAGUUUGUCACGUAGAGAGCUUCUUGGGAUGCACAAACGAUCAUUUUUGAAGAGAUAGCCAUUCUGCACCAAAUAGUCAUCACCUAAUGGUUGGCCCCAAUUGUGCUUUACCCAAACGAAACUGCUCCACAGACAACAAGUGCAACCCGAUUCCCGCACGACCAUAGAAUCUCAAUCGAGCGGCUGUUUCCUUUUAAGUCGCAUGCAUGGGUGGCUGGAUUUCCACCGUCGUGCAGGAAUCGUUCAACUGUUGUCAUCCAUAUAGCACGAUUCUUACCCAAACAUGGCCAAAGUCUUCGUCAUCCUCACACCUUUAUUUGAUUCAUGCCAGGAAGUUCAGCCUCAAAAUAAGUCAAGAGACAUGCACGAUGACUGAAAGCAUCGAUCACUCGUUUGGUUGCUCUAGAUUUAUGCACAGUGAGAUAGUUAAAUCUCUCCAAAUAUGCCACCCAUCUUGCUAGCAUGCGAUCAACAUGUUUUUGAUUUCCAAAAUGCUUCAAGGAUUGAUUGUCAGUGUAAACGAUACUCUUUAGGCGGCAAAUAGACUUCCCAAGUUUUUAAAGCUCGAAAAACUGCAUAUAAUUCUUACUGAUAAGUACUCCAUUUCUAUCUAGCUUUGCUUAACUUCUCAGUUCUCACUAAAGAAAGCAAUGUGCAUCCUUUCUUGAGAUAGAACAGCUCCAAUGCCUACUCCACUUGCAUCACACUCCAACUAGUCUUGUGAUAGUUUUUGCUUGAUCUCAUUGAAACUAGCUUUAGCCGUUUCUGUCCACUGGAACUUCCCUUUAUUCAAGCACCUGGUAAUUGGUGCCAUGAUAUUCUUCACAAAUCGCCUAUAGAAAGUUGCAAGGCCAUGAAAACUUCUUACAUCAGAAAUGGUAUUCGGAGUUGGCCAUUCUCGGAUUGCUUCAACCUUAGAAUCAUCAACACGAAUACCGUCGCAUGUUAUGACAAAUCCUUGGAAAAGAAGUUGUGUUUGCAGGAAAAUUUAUUUCCUCAAGUUGACGUAGAGCUCAUUUUCCUUUGGUACUCCUAGCACUUUCCGAAUGUGAUCAAAGUGUUCAUCCUCAUCCUUACUAUAGAUCAAGAUGUCAUCAAAAUAAACCACAACAAAGUGAGAUAAGAAGGGCCGAAAGACUUGGUUCAUCAAGUGCAUAGGGGUACUUGGUCCAUUUGAGAGUCCAAUUGGCAUGACUAGCCAUUGAAACAACCAUUCCUUUGUCUUGAAGGCUGUUCUCCAUUCAUCCCUGGGUCUGAUGCAAAUUUGAUGAUACCCGCUUCUUAAAUCUAGCUUUGUGAACACUAUUGCUCCACUAAGCUGAUCCAACAUAUUGUCCAGACGGGGAAUAGGGAAUCUUUACCUUACAAUGAUCUUGUUGAUGGUUCUAUUGUCCACACAUAUACGCCAAGAUCAUAGAAAAUGGGGGAGGUAUGAAUUAUAUAGGUGCUUGAGGUGGAAGAGGAAGUGAGGGUACAAGGGUAAUUCCCAGUCACUACUCGCAGGCAGGCCCGUGUGUACUGGGUAAAUUGGCUCAGUGCACAGGGUGCCCAGAAGGUUUUGAAGGGGUCUCGUGUCCAUGGGGUCCUGGAGCCCGUGUGUGCGGGGUGUCCAGAGAGUUUUUGGGGUACCCGUGCGCACGGGAUACAUGGCCCCAUGUGCACGGGGUGUCCAGAGAGCCUUUUUCUUGUCUUAAGCUGCUGGGCACCUUCUUCUCCAGUGACCACAAAGCUUUCUACUAUCUUCGGCUGCUGGGACCUUCUUCUGUGUUGUCCAGGGGCCCCAUGUGCAUGGGGUGUCCAGAGAGCUUUCUCUUAUCUUGAGUUGUUGGCCACCUUCUUCUGUGCUUCCUUCCUGUUGUUCUUCAUGGAGCCGGUGUUCCUUCCUCACUUCUCCCUGUUGAUUGUCGUUGUACUUAAUCACACAUAGGGUCCCCCUGUGAGGUAGUAGCCUAAGUAUUAUCUAAGUGCAUACGGAGGUCAAGCAGGAAAGAGUUUAGCUCGAUUUCUACGGCACGUGCGCGAGCCCUUGUUAUGGGUCCAUUUGGAGCUUGUUGUGUAGCUGGUGUUUGCAUGGUGAUGUCCAUGGGCUGCUUCGCUCUACUUCGGCUUGCACAUCGUCUUUUUGCCCUUCUCGCCACUAGAUGAUGCGCCUUGCAUGCGUUGGUGUUGAUGAGAUGUCCAUUCCUUUGCCAGGAGGAGCUUCUCGACGCUGUUGCCCACAUCAUCGAGGUCGUAGUUCUCUUCCACGGGCAGCAGGCGGCCUUUGAGCUCUUCAAUUGUCAACGUCUUGAGGUCGAUCAAGGAUUUGAUGGCCAUUGCCAUCCGCCGUUACUUGCGUGGCACCACAUGCAGAAACUUGCAUGGCCUGGUGCUUGGUGAUGGGGUCGUUCAAUAGGUGCAAGUCAUUGACGAUGGCAGUCAGGUGAAGCAUGAAAUCCUCGAUGGAUGUAUCGUCGUGGGAAUGGAGCUCCUCGAACUAGUGGCAGUGGGUCUGCGCCCUCACCUCCCGCACGCACUCACACCCCAUGCGAAGGGUCUUGAGUGUGUCCUGGCCAGCCUUGGUGUUGUCCUUGUCUUUCAGUGUGCGCACCAGCUGAGGCGGAACCGCUUGCGUCAGCGCCGCCAGUGCGGUGCGAUCGUCGCGCUCAUCAUAGCCAAACUCGACAACCUUCCAUAGCCGUUGUGCCUGCAGCUGAACACACAUGAUCAUGGCCCAGUUGGCAUAGUUAGUGCGGGUAUGCAUCGGGUAUUGGGCAGAGCUGCCGCCCUCCCUCACGACACUCACUCGCUACAAUCUUGUUAGACCUAAUCUUCUCAUAUACCAAAGAGAUGCAUGCAUGAGAAGGAAGAAGUCAAAUUGAAUUGGAUGUCGAG